CCUACGGGUGGCAGCAGUGAGGAAUAUUGGUCAAUGGACGCAAGUCUGAACCAGCCAUGCCGCGUGCAGGAAGACGGCUCUAUGAGUUGUAAACUGCUUUUGUACGAGGGUAAACGCAGAUACGCGUAUCUGUCUGAAAGUACCGUACGAAUAAGGAUCGGCUAACUCCGUGCCAGCAGCCGCGGUAAUACGGAGGAUUCAAGCGUUAUCCGGAUUUAUUGGGUUUAAAGGGUGCGUAGGCGGUCGGAUAAGUUAGAGGUGAAAUCCCGAGGCUCAACUUCGGAAUUGCCUUUGAUACUGUUCGUCUAGAGAGUAGUUGCGGUAGGCGGAAUGUAUGGUGUAGCGGUGAAAUGCUUAGAGAUCAUACAGAACACCGAUUGCGAAGGCAGCUUACCAAGCUACUUCUGACGUUGAGGCACGAAAGCGUGGGGAGCAAACAGGAUUAGAACCCCCAGUAGUC
rnacentral:rRNA from 1 species